rnacentral:rRNA from 1 species
UACGUAGGUGGCGAGCGUUGUCCGGAUUUACUGGGCGUAAAGGGAGCGUAGGCGGACUUUUAAGUGAGGUGUGAAAUACCCGGGCUCAACUUGGGUGCUGCAUUUCAAACUGGAAGUCUAGAGUGCAGGAGAGGAGAAUGGAAUUCCUAGUGUAGCGGUGAAAUGCGUAGAGAUUAGGAAGAACACCAGUGGCGAAGGCGAUUCUCUGGACUGUAACUGACGCUGAGGCUCGAAAGCGUGGGGAGCAAACAGGAUUAGAUACCCCUGUAGU